CCCUUAGAUGUUCUGGGCCGCACGCGUGCUACACUGAGUGGAUCAGCGGGUCAGGUUGCGCGAAAGCGUUUCCUAAUCUUUAAAUCCGCUCAUGAUGGGGAUUGACGGUUGCAAUUUUCUGUCAUGAACGAGGAAUACCUUGUAAGCGCGGGUCAUCAUCCCGCGCUGAAUACGUCCCUGCCCUUUGUACACACCGCCCGUCGCUCCUACCGAUUGAGUGGUCCGGUGAGGCUUUGGGAUCUGAGCGGAAAGAGCGUUUCGCUGUUUCUGCUCGGAAAACUCAGUCGAACCUUAUCAUUUAGAGGAAGGAGAAGUCGUAACA
rnacentral:rRNA from 1 species